AGGAGAAUACUUAAUAAUACGGCGAAACAUUUAUACAAAACACCUAUCCCGAGCACACGCAAGGGAACCGUAGACAGGCAAGUGAAAUCCAAUCCACGAAAUAAUUUGAUCCAUGGACGGCACCGUUGUGGUAAAGGUCGUAAUUCCAGAGGAAUCAUUACCGCAAGGCAUAGAGGGGGAGGUCAUAAGCGCCUAUACCGUAAAAUAGAUUUUCGACGGAAUCAAAAAGACAUAUCUGGUAGAAUCGUAACCAUAGAAUACGACCCUAAUCGAAAUGCAUACAUUUGUCUCGUACACUAUGGGGAUGGUGAGAAGAGAUAUAUUUUACAUCCCAGAGGGGCUAUAAUUGGAGAUACUAUUGUUUUUCGUACAAAAGUUCCUAUAUCAAUGGGAAAUGCCCUACCUUUGAAAUCUACUUCAACCGAUAUGCCCUUAGGCACGGCCAUGCAUAACAUAGAAAUCACACGUGGAAGGGGUGGGCAAUUAGCUAGAGCAGCAGGUGCUGUAGCGAAACUCAUUGCAAAAGAGGGUAAAUCGGCCACUUUAAGAUUACCAUCUGGGGAGGUCCGUUUAGUAUCCCAAAACUGCUUAGCAACAGUCGGACAAGUGGGUAAUGUUGGGGUGAACCAAAAAAGUUUGGGUAGAGCCGGAUCUAAGUGUUGGCUAGGUAAACGCCCCGUAGUAAGAGGGGUAGUUAUGAACCCUGUGGACCACCCCCAUGGGGGCGGUGAAGGGAAAGCUCCCAUUGGUAGAAAAAAACCCACAACCCCUUGGGGUUAUCCUGCGCUUGGAAGAAGAACUAGGAAAAGGAAAAAAUAUAGCGAUAGUUUAUUCUUCGUCGCCGUAAGUAAAUACGUAACUAGGAAUAUGGAAAAUUGCAUUUUUGGAAUUUGCAAUAAUGCGAUGGGCGAACGACGGGAAUUGAACCCGCGCAUGGUGGAUUCACAAUCCACUGCCUUGAUCCACUUGGCUACAUCCGCCCCUUAUCCAGCUAAAGGAUUUUUUUCUUUUUUCCAUUGAUCAUUAUUCUAUUUAUUCUGACCUCCGUACUUCGAUCGAGAUAUUGGACAUAGAAUGCCACUCUUUAAAAAGGAAAAAAGGAGUAAUCAGCUGUGACACGAAAAAAAACGAAUCCUUUUGUAGCUCAUCAUUUAUUGGCAAAGAUAGAAAAGGUCAAUAUGAAGGAGGAGAAAGAAACAAUAGUAACGUGGUCCCGGGCAUCUAGCAUUCUACCCACAAUGGUUGGCCAUACAAUCGCGAUUCAUAAUGGAAAGGAACAUAUACCUAUUUACAUAACAAAUCCUAUGGUAGGUCGCAAAUUGGGGGAAUUCGUGCCUACUCGGCAUUUCACGAGUUAUGAAAAUGCAAGAAAGGAUACUAAAUCUCGUCGUUAACUGAAUUCUGAAUAGAAAGAUUAAGAAGA